rnacentral:misc_RNA from 1 species
UAAAAAAUAAUUACAUAAAUCUUUUCUAAAAUCCCUAUUGACAGGAGAUUUCAAAUGCAAGAGGUUAUAGUCUCUUAGUUGAUUUUUAAUAAUUGACUCCUCUUUUUUAAACUUUUUCACUUCACUUUUCUAUUUUAAUCAUAUAUUUUUUAUUGUUCAAAAUAUUUUUUGAAAUAAUAGCUAUAUUUUGUGCAAGUGUGAUUAUUAUGGCAAACUUCAUUGUGUAAGUACAUAUUUAUAUGAUAAAUUUAAACUAGGGAUAUUUUGGUAAUCUACUUCACUUUAUUUUACUUUCUCACAACCUAAUCAAACUUAAGAAUUAUACAUUCCAAUGGAAAUUG